AUGAACGCUGGCGGCGUGCCUCAUACAUGCAUGUCGAGCGAACAGAUGAGGAGCUUGCUCCUCUGACGUUAGCGGCGGACGGGUGAGUAACACGUGGAUAACCUACCUAUAAGACUGGGAUAACUUCGGGAAACCGGAGCUAAUACCGGAUAAUAUAUUGAACCGCAUGGUUCAAUAGUGAAAGACGGUUUUGCUGUCACUUAUAGAUGGAUCCGCGCCGCAUUAGCUAGUUGGUAAGGUAACGGCUUACCAAGGCAACGAUGCGUAGCCGACCUGAGAGGGUGAUCGGCCACACUGGAACUGAGACACGGUCCAGACUCCUACGGGAGGCAGCAGUAGGGAAUCUUCCGCAAUGGGCGAAAGCCUGACGGAGCAACGCCGCGUGAGUGAUGAAGGUCUUCGGAUCGUAAAACUCUGUUAUUAGGGAAGAACAAAUGUGUAAGUAACUAUGCACGUCUUGACGGUACCUAAUCAGAAAGCCACGGCUAACUACGUG
rnacentral:rRNA from 1 species